GAUGAACGCUGGCGGCGUGCCUAAUACAUGCAAGUCGAGCGAACAGAUGAGGAGCUUGCUCCUCUGACGUUAGCGGCGGACGGGUGAGUAACACGUGGAUAACCUACCUAUAAGACUGGGAUAACUUCGGGAAACCGGAGCUAAUACCGGAUAAUAUAUUGAACCGCAUGGUUCAAUAGUGAAAGACGGUUUUGCUGUCACUUAUAGAUGGAUCCGCGCCGCAUUAGCUAGUUGGUAAGGUAACGGCUUACCAAGGCGACGAUGCGUAGCCGACCUGAGAGGGUGAUCGGCCACACUAGAACUGAGACACGGUCCAGACUCCUACGGGAGGCAGCAGUAGGGAAUCUUCCGCAAUGGGCGAAAGCCUGACGGAGCAACGCCGCGUGAGUGAUGAAGGUCUUCGGAUCGUAAAACUCUGUUAUUAGGGAAGAACAAAUGUGUAAGUAACUAUGCACGUCUUGACGGUACCUAAUCAGAAAGCCACGGCUAACUACGUG
rnacentral:rRNA from 1 species